rnacentral:rRNA from 1 species
CCUACGGGUGGCAGCAGUGGGGAAUAUUGGGCAAUGGGCGCAAGCCUGACCCAGCAACGCCGCGUGAAGGAAGAAGGCUUUCGGGUUGUAAACUUCUUUUGUCAGGGAAGAGUAGAAGACGGUACCUGACGAAUAAGCCAAGGCUAACGACGUGCAGGCAGCCGCGGUAAUACGUAGGUGGCAAGCGUUGUCCGGAUUUACUGGGUGUAAAGGGCGUGUAGCCGGGUUGACAAGUCAGAUGUGAAAUCCUGCGGCUUAACCGCAGAACUGCAUUUGACACUGUUGAUCUUGAGUACUGGAGAGGCAGACGGAAUUCCUGGUGUAGCGGUGAAAUGCGUAGAUAUUAGGAGGAAGACCAGGGGCGAAGGCGGUCUGCUGGACAGCAACUGACGGUGAGGCGCGAAGGCGUGGGGAGCAAACAGGAUUAGAUACCCGAGUAGUG